CUAUGGCUGUGUCUGUGUGUUGGAGAAUGGAGAUCCAUGUGAGUCAUGAAUGGACGCGCUUAUCCUGAUGGAAGCAUCUUCCAUGGUCAUGAACUCUGGGCCUGCAUCGAUGCACUGGGAACGUAGACACCAACGUUGUCAUGGAGAAAGCAAGCCAGUCCUGGACCACCAGUAAUGAUGGGUGAGACACGAGUCACGUAU